AGACCUCAUUUAUUUUCUGAUUUUUGGAUCAAACCUGGUGGGCUCGGGAGAUCAAACCCGGGUCAGACAUGUGCAAGGGGUUACCCUGGCUCUGCACUCAGAAACUACUGGUGAUGCUUGAGGACCAUAUGGAAUACUAUGGAUCAAAACUGGGUCAGCUGCAAGGAGGAACCUGAAGAGCAUCCUAGAGGGUCCCUGAGGGUGAAAGAGUCUGCAGCCUCCGCAAGUGCCUG